CCGCACCAAAAAUUGUUCCAAUGAAAAUUACUGGGGGUGGUGUCACAAUGGAGGCUGGUACAAAUGAAGAGAAACCUGCUGGUCAGGGUGCUGAGGAGAGGAAGGAAAACACUGCUAACGUGAAAAGCAUAGUUGUGAAGCAAAUGGAUCCACGUAAGGAGGAAAAUAACUCUGAAGACGAGGAGAGAAGAGAAAGGAGUGUCCCCGUGAAACAAGUGGAAGAGAAUGUGGGGAACAAACCUUCUGGUACGAGUGUUAAGAGACAGUCCUCUUCCCCUAAAAAGUCAUCUGAGCUACCUCCCGUCUGUCUGAGAGUUGAUCCACUGCCGAGGAAGAAGAAGGCCAAUGGCAGUUCACGGUCUCCUAGUCCUCCUGCUCAAAAAGG
rnacentral:lncRNA from 1 species